rnacentral:lncRNA from 1 species
UUUCAUUUCAUUAUUGAAGCAGGCUUAUUUUGAGUCAUGCACAUAGGAGCACAAAAAGUCAUGAUGUGCUUGGUAGUACGAUUAUUAUUGGGUAAUGGAUCGAUUGAUUGCAUGAGGUACAAGUACAUUUGCGUUUGCCAGUUGUAUGAUGCACAAAUAUAUUGUGUGGUUCUCGUGUAGGUGUCCCAAAUUACUGAAUGUCAUUGAGUCUGGAUUAGUGUAUUACGGAUGUGCCACACAACACUAGUGUUUGAAGAUUAUAGUCACGGGGUCCUAUUAAUAACCAUGUGGAUGUCGUGGGAAGGACAUGCAUUCAGAAGCAAAUGAAAAAAUAUCAUAUCGCAUCGCAAUAAUAGCUCAAAUUAUACGAUCUAACACUAGGUUGUUGCAACAUAGAACAACAUACAAGGUUCAAAGAUAGAAAUACAGCCGCACGGUGUCCAAAUUUAGAUAAUGGCUAUCCCACAAAUUACAUAGAUAUGAAGAUACGUGACUAAACAUUAGGGUUGUUGCCAAUUUUGCAUAACUGGUAUGCCACAUACAAAAGAACAUUCUUCAAAUGUGACACACAUCAUAGUUCAGAUAUGGUUGAAGAUGACACACGUGUAGCUCGAACAUGCAUUCGCGGCCAUUUGGUCUCAAUUUCUUACCAUAUAGGCAAGACUAGGCUAUAUAAUGGUAAACCAUACCUUCAUCAUCUCACACUCUUUAUCUUUGUGGAAACAUAUCACUACCACAUCGUCCACCUGUAGUCCAAGAAUGUUCACAUAUGCUUUGAAACCGCCUUGUAUGACCAUCCUGUCAUCAUUCUCUUCUUGAACGAAACCUUAAGUUGAGUAUCCGGUUCACCCAGCAGGUAUAUGUAAUAAAAUAUUCUAGUGAGACGUCGUUGCAGUAGGUGGAACCGCCCCAGGAAAAGUAGCGGUAGUCUAGGCCAAGCUUUGUCUCUUCCAUGUCAUUAUUCAUGCGCUUAGUGCGGCCCCACAUCUGCUAAUCGAUCUCUUAGGUACAAUACAAUGCACUAUUAUCAACAAAUGGACCUGAUAAUGGGGUGCCUGGGCACCCGGGAGUCGAAAGCCCACUCUAUUGCAACAAACUCAUAAAGAUAGUAAAUAUGUACUAAACGUUGUACAAUCCUGGAACCAUCCAAGCUUCUACUUCUGUACCACGGAGAUUACUUGAGCAUUGUUGACUCUAAAAUCAAAUGCAUCCAAACAUAAAUAGAGCUAAAACAAACUAGAAUUAUCAUUUUUGUAGUGACGUGCAUCGAUUUAGUUCUCCGACACGGUUGCUAGGCAUGCUUCUGGUCCUUCCUUCAUUCCCAAGGCCUCUCAUUCCUAAAUGUGUUGUGUUUUUGUACAAGAGAUGAGAGAGGAAACUAGAAAUAUCAUCGCAUGCCAUGCUGGCCAGUCGAGUAGUUGAGGUGGAGGGGAUGGUAGUGUAUAUAUAUCCAUACUAGCUAGCUCCAUUAUCAUUGACCAUGAAAUAGCCAUGUGAAUCUGUAGGUGGUGGGUGAGAGGCAAUACAAAAUCAUCAGUUUAAUCUUCACAAUGAAAGAUAUGCUGCUACUGAUCCACAAUGUUUACUACUUCACAGGGUAAAAGUGCAUUUUGUGGUUGGCCUGCGUUAAUGUACCCCCAAAAUGAAAAUAGAUCUCUUAAUUAAGGACUGCAGUUGGACUCAUCAACCCCUUAAUAAGGGCUGCAGACAGACUAGAGAAAAGGGGUUGGCCAAGCUAUGGCCUCUACCCCCUUUGCAAGCGUGAGCAAGAAAGUGGACCUCACCUACUCUUCAAAUGUCGCGACAUGCUCAGACUUUGGAACUUGAUCAGGGAGAAAUUCGGCCUCCAUCAUCUUGAUACCCCGACUUGGCACCUCGAGGAAUCAGUGGGUUGCAGGACCGACUCGGGGGGUCCCCAAUAGGAUGGUAAUGUCUUUCCUCCUCAUGUUUGUCUCAUGGAUGGUGUGGAAUGGGAGAAAUGGUCGGGUCUUCGACACAAGAGCGCCCCACCUCCCAUCCUUUUAAACAACACCGAUCACGAGGCAAACCUCUAGAUCAUCGUAGGGGCAAAGAAACUGGGUAUCCUUGUCACGCGCGAGUAGCCCUGCAUGCCAUGCACGGGUGAUCCGUUUGUAACAAACAUUCCUCCUCUCUUAAUCAAUAUAUGAGGCAAAACAACAACGUGAAAGGAAAGAUGCAACAGCAAUUUUAGUGGAAAUUCGAACCCGAUACUAUCUCCAAUCAAUUCGCUGCCAAAUUUUGAAAUCCUACGAGAUAUGCGGUCGAAACACCGGUGUCACACAUACAGAAUUUAGGAUAUGGAUUCAGUACACUCUGCUACAGGUAGCGGAGGAUUCAAGGGAGAAAGCAUAGUAGCAGGAGAAGAAAACUAGAU